UCCUACGGGGCGCAGCAGUGAGGAAUAUUGGUCAAUGGUCGGGAGACUGAACCAGCCAAGCCGCGUGAGGGAGGAAGGUACAGAGUAUCGUAAACCUCUUUUGUCAGGGAACAAAGGCGGGGACGUGUCCCCGGAUGAGCGUACCUGAAGAAAAAGCAUCGGCUAACCCCGUGCCAGCAGCCGCGGUAAUACGGAGGAUGCGAGCGUUAUCCGGAUUUAUUGGGUUUAAAGGGUGCGCAGGCGGUCUGUUAAGUCAGCGGUCAAAGCCCGGGGCUCAACCCCGGCCCGCCGUUGCAACUGGCAGG
rnacentral:rRNA from 1 species